ensembl:lncRNA
ACAACUAAAUAGUAAUAGGAUGCAUGCAAGUCACUGUGGAUUACAAAGGUACCUUUUUAUUAUUCUUGUUAAUUAUGACAGAAGGAAAUGAGCUUUCACUGAUUGGUAGAAACUGACUGUACAAGACUAAAAUAGAUUGGGGUUCUGUGUAGUAGACAUUAGGUCUAGUUGGGGGAAUGAAAAGCAAAAUAUAAUUUUGUAUUUAACUCUGACGUGUGAUUAGUGGCAACUGUUUAUAGCAAAUCUACAUGUGGCUGAAAAUGCCAUUUCUAAAGGCUUUUCCUGUCUUAUCCUUUGCAGUUGCCCAUAGAAAGACAGUGCAGGUGAAAAAGCAAAGAGGAAAAAAAUCACCAUUUUCACAAACCACAAGUGAAGUCCCUGGUAAAGUUCCUGACUUCAAAACAAAUAUUUCAGAUUCAGCAUCAGCUAGAAUGCAGGAAUGGAAUUGGAUUUUUGCUGUAUACAUCAGUAUAUCAGCUGGAUACUGUUUGACUCCAUCAAAGUGGAUAUUGUCCACGGCCGGUUCCUCGGACAUGUUAGGGGACGGGGAAGAUGAGGAAGGAGAUGAGGAGGACGAGGCAGUCGGCAGCGCUCACAACGCUNNNNNNNNNNGGAAAAUCAAGGAGCUGAGUGAGACAAGGCUACCAGAAGACCAAAGAGGCAAACGGAGGCUCCCGAUCCCCUCCCCAGACAUCCCGUUUCUACGAGGCACUGCAUUCCAUCCUCGGUGCGGCCGCCACCACUACCCCACCACUGACCGUGGACUCUGAGGAUGGGAUAGUGUCCACGGCCGGUUCCUCGGACAUGUUAGGGGACGGGGAAGAUGAGGAGGACGAGGCAGUCGGCAGCGCUCACAACGCUGAUUUUCCCGACAGCCAGAAUCUCUUCAUCACCCUUACAGAGAUCCCCUACCAACCGUUACCCCGGACACAGAAUCUGGGGAAGGAUCAGCCAGUAAGUGUUGUAAACAUCUAAACAUUUGUUUUUAACAGAACAGGAAUAUUAACAAUUAAAAGAAUGGGUUGUUCAUGAUUACUUUGCCCUAGGCGCUUAACGGUUCAGUCAUGGGCAGUGCAAGUUUUGAAAAAAAAUCUAGCAAUGUCCGGUUUUCCGUGAUUGUCCUGCCCAAGCCGCUCUACUGUUUAGUCCCUGCUACUGCAGCUACAGUAAAAUGCGGUCUAUAUGUCUGAGGAUAGAGCAGAAAUCCUCCUGGGACAUCUUGAUGAAGCUCUCCUGGAGGUAAUUGGAAAGCCGUUGCAUGAGGUUCCUGGGGAGAGCGGCCUUAUUGGGUCCUCCGUAGUACGACACGUUGCCGCGCCACGAGACAAUCAAGUACUCGGGAAUCAUUGCUCUGCACAGCAGGGCGGCAUACGGCCCUGGUCUUUGGAGGCUUUCCCGGAGCAUUCUCUCUUUCUCGCUGUCAGAGAUCCUCAUCAGGGUGAUGUUGCUCAUGGUGACCUGCUUUGAAUUAGGUAGGGGAAUGUUAGUGUUGGGACUGCUUGCCCGUUCCUUUACUGAACUGUAACCGUUGGUUUGCAGCCACACGGUGGAGGCGGGAGAGGGGCAGCCUACAGGGAUCGUUCCCGGGGACAGCCGCGAGGGGGUGGGACAGGGGCAGAGUUCCCGCUUGCCGGAUUGCUGGCAGCAGGGACUGACAUUGCUUUCAAUGUGAAAUCAGUACAUUGCUAAUAUUAAAGUUUUAAGCUGCCACAAGUCUACGGCUUACCAUGUCUGCCUGCAACAGAAAUUCCGUUGUCCUGCCCCGCUUCU